AGCAGUAGCCGCGGUAAUACGUAGGGUGCAAGCGUUAUCCGGAAUUAUUGGGCGUAAAGAGCUCGUAGGCGGUUUGUCGCGUCUGCUGUGAAAACUGGAGGCUCAACCUCCAGCCUGCAGUGGGUACGGGCAGACUAGAGUGCGGUAGGGGAGAUUGGAAUUCCUGGUGUAGCGGUGGAAUGCGCAGAUAUCAGGAGGAACACCGAUGGCGAAGGCAGAUCUCUGGGCCGUAACUGACGCUGAGGAGCGAAAGCGUGGGGAGCGAACAGGAUUAGAUACCCCCGUAGUCCCUGUCUCUUAUAC
rnacentral:rRNA from 1 species